AGUAAUGUAUGGGGAUCUGCCCGAUAGAGGGGGAUAACUACUGGAAACGGUGGCUAAUACCGCAUAAUGUCUACGGACCAAAGCAGGGGCUCUUCGGACCUUGCACUAUCGGAUGAACCCAUAUGGGAUUAGCUAGUAGGUGGGGUAAAGGCUCACCUAGGCGACGAUCUCUAGCUGGUUUGAGAGGAUGAUCAGCCACACUGGGACUGAGACACGGCCCAG
rnacentral:rRNA from 1 species